CAGUCGCCGCGGGAAUACGUAGGUGGCAAGCGUUGUCCGGAAUUAUUGGGCGUAAAGGGCUCGCAGGCGGUUUCUUAAGUCUGAUGUGAAAGCCCCCGGCUCAACCGGGGAGGGUCAUUGGAAACUGGGAAACUUGAGUGCAGAAGAGGAGAGUGGAAUUCCACGUGUAGCGGUGAAAUGCGUAGAGAUGUGGAGGAACACCAGUGGCGAAGGCGACUCUCUGGUCUGUAACUGACGCUGAGGAGCGAAAGCGUGGGGAGCGAACAGGAUUAGAUACCCCUGUAGUCCCUGUCUCUUAUAU
rnacentral:rRNA from 1 species